UACGGAGGGUGCGAGCGUUGUCCGGAAUCACUGGGCGUAAAGGGCGCGUAGGCGGCUCAAGCAGCGUGUGGUGAAAGCUCGGGGCUCAACCCCGAGUCGGCCGUGCGAACUCUUGGGCUGGAGUGCUGUAGAGGCGGGCGGAAUUCCGGGUGUAGCGGUGGAAUGCGUAGAGAUCCGGAGGAAGACCGGUGGCGAAGGCGGUCUGCUGGGCAGUUUCUGACACUGAGGCGCGACAGCGUGGGGAGCAAACAGG
rnacentral:rRNA from 1 species